AUGAAGUUUCCUGCUCAGAUUCUUGGGCUGAUAGUGCUCUGUAUUCCUGGGACUACUGGGGAUAUUGUGUUGACUCAAGCUCCACUCUCUGUAGCUGUCACUCCUAGAGAGUCAGCUUCCAUCUCCUGCAGAUCUAGUAAGAGUCUGCUACAUAGUAAUGGCAACACUUACGUGUAUUGGUACCUUCAGAAGCCAGGAAAGUCUCCUCAGCUCCUGAUAUAUCGGAUGUCCAACCUUGCCUCAGGAGUUCCAGACAGGUUUAGUGGCAGUGGGUCAGAAACAGAUUUUACACUGAAAAUCAGUAAGGUGGAGACUGAGGAUGUUGGCGUUUAUUACUGUGGACAGCUUCUAGAACGUCCUCCCACAGUGUUACAGCCUUGA